rnacentral:lncRNA from 1 species
GAGAGAGUUGUAUAUUUUCAAUAAUGAAAUACACAUGAUCCUUUACAAAGGGAGAAGGUCCCCUUUAUAUACUAAGGGACCUUCCUCUAAAUAAUACAAAAAAGUACAAGGGUUGGUGGCCUCGAUAUACGAGUGUCAGAGCUCGAUGUGACAUUACGGUGAGUCACGUCACUUGGUCCGUUUAUGACUAAGACCGGCCCUUCUUAAGUCGACCAUGCCAAGGCCGCCUUAUUUAGUGAGGCCGUAUGUGGAUACUACGUAGACGUGGAGAACCAAAUUUGCCCAAUACAGAUAGUCCCUCCGUUUAUUGGGGACGCAGUCGAAAGGCGUCUCCAAUGGACGGACAUGCGUGCGUGACGCCUAUGAAAAUUUGGUCGCUCCUGCUAAUACGUUCGUGAGAGCCGCGUUCGUAUGUAAAAAGGUCGUGCCACGUCUCUAAUGGACGGACAUCCGUGCUUGACGCCUAUGAAAAUUUGGUCGCUCCUGCUGAUACAUUCGUGAGAGUCGUGUUCGUAUGUAAAAAUGUCUUGCCGUUUGACAUGUUACCUCCUUUUUGGGAUUUCUUUUUGAGGUGACGUCAUCAAUCAUAUGCGUGAUCAUUGCUUUUGCUCACGAGGUGGUUCGGGUUAUGACGUGACGUUUGGGUUUCCUGCACCGAUUUUUCGAAUCAUCCCCUUUUGAUUUCCGUGUACCUUUUCUUAUAAAUAGGUGGAGAGUUGAACUAGGUUCAUCUUUCGAUCUUUUUCAGAGAGUAUUAUCUCGCUAUUUUCCCUAUCUUUUCCUGGUGUUUGCUAUUCUUUUCUUCUAUGAAAUUCUCAUUUUCUAGAAUCGAACUUGCGACCCUUAAUAUCUUCUUCUUAUAUCAUUCACUAUGGCUAAACAUAGGCGUGAUGAUACAAAAACCAAGGACGUUGCUUCUACCAGGGCUUCGUCAUCUUCGGACGGCGAGGAGGCCGAGGAAGUUUUUGUUCCUCUUUCAACGGCCAACCUGCUCCCACGCGAUAUGAGCAAAAGAAGUGUUCUUCUUAUAUCAUUCACUAUGGCUAAACGUAGGCGUGAUGAUACCAAAACCAGGGACGUUGCUUCUACCAGUGCUUUGUCAUCUUCGAACAGCGAGGAAGCCGAGGAAGUUUUUGUUCCUCUUUCAGCGGCCAACCUGCUCCCACGCGAUAUGAGCAAAAGAAGUGACUUUCUAAACAAGCGUAAAGUCUGCCUUUGGGAGCAUAGUGAGAUGACGCCGCCCCACUUGGCCUCUCUUAGGAAGACGUAUGAUAUCCCUAAUCACGUUGACAUGGUUCACGCGGGGCUGGAUUACGCUAAUGUGCCGAGGCCCGGGUACUGUGUCUGCAACAAAUACGCCUUUCGAAUUGGAUACACCCUUCAAAUUUACCCUUUAGCGGAGGAGUUGUGUCACUGGUUCGGAGUGUGUCCGGCCCAGCUUACCCCGUACGCCAUUAAGGUGUGCAGGGUGGUAUCCGUUUAUGCGACGAAGGCCGGAAAGGAGGUGACCUUUCAUCACCUUUUGCAAAUGUUCAAUGUGGUUUUCAUCAGAGGCUCGAUGCUCCAGUUGAGGAGAAGGGGCAAGAAAAGCUUCGUGGCGCAUGUGGAUGACAAGGACAAUCAUAAAUUUUGUAUGAGGUUCUUCUACAUCCGUAUCAAGCACCUUGUGCCCGACCCUAAUGGGUUUCCAGAAGUGUGGAAUGACGCGCGUAUGUAUUGUUGUGCGCGAUGUUUACUAUUUUGACCUUACUUUGCUGGUUCUUACUGUCGAAAGUUUUCCUUUGUUUUCAUGCAGUGGCUGUUUUUCCUCCUCGUGGUGUUGACGACAUUAGGUCGUGGGUGCAGGCGCUGAUACCGUUUGCAGAGGAAAGUCAUUCUUGGACUAACUUUCUUAGGCUCCACGGCCCAGCUGGUAACGGCUUUACCUAAUCUUUGUUACGAUUUGGGGGCCCAUAUGAUUUCCUUACCCGUCUCUCAUGUGUUUCGGUAGGUCGGGGAGACUCUAAGAAGGCGGGGAAGAACAAGCUGCAGAAGAAAAGAAGAAGGCUGCUGCUGGUCCUUCUAAGACAGCAUCUGAUCCUGAGGCGGAUCUGAUCUUCGUCGGCACUUCCAGAGGCGGUGCUUCGCCUCCUUUAAGACAGGAGGAUACAUUAGAAGUGGCCCCAGAUAUAGCAUCUGAGGCCAUGAUGGGGGUCGUACCUGAGACGACUCCCAUCGAGGUAUCGGUGGUUGUCCCUAAUAUUGCCCCCGUAAGGGCUCAUUCUGCCGUGACGACCCCCUCUGAGCUUGCUCUACACCCUGCGAAGGAGGAACGUGAAGAGGAGGAGACGUUGGAGAGGAGGCAACGUCGGAUCCUUAUUGGAAAAGCCGUGGCCACCUAGUCAGGAAAAGCUAGGCCAUCUGGCCCUGUGUCAAAGCCGGCCUUUAUGGCAGGGGCUAUUCGCUCAGGAAGAGCUGAUCUUAGGAGAGAGGCCGCGGUAAGGAUACGAAGACGUGGAUGUGGCGGGCUCGGGGGGAUCCACGGAGGGUCCUUAUUGGAAAAGCCGUGGCCACCUAGUCAGGAAAAGCUAGGCCAUCUGGCCCUGUGUCAAAGCCGGCCUUUAUGGCAGGGGCUAUUCGCUCAGGAAGAGCUGAUCUUAGGAGAGAGGCCGCGGUAAGGAUACGAAGACGUGGAUGUGGCGGGCUCGGGGGCAUCCACGGAGGGCGCAAACAGAGGAGGCAGGUCCUUGGACCGGGUGGAGAUGAUGGUCGGCCACUCUUCUCGUCGUAUAAUGAUCCCAAGUCACUAUAAUCUGCUGGAGAACUGUGAGGAGGCGGCCUCCAGUAUGACGUUCUUGUGCAUCGGUGCCGAGCGCAUGACCUUGGUGGAGCUUAGUAAUAAAGCCUUGGUCCAAAGGGUGGCAGGCGCGGCCUUACAGAUCUCUUUUCCAGACUCUUGUCUUGGAGGUGGAGAGGGAUUGGCGCCGGAAAGAGAAGAUGGCCAAAUACAACCGGUUGGCGCAAAAGUACAAUAAGGUGCACGAGGCGCAUCGAACCCUGGCCGACAUGUACAAGCAGGACCCCUACUUUAGAGUGGUUCUUGAGGGCCUAGUGGAUUCCGAGGCGCAAUUGAAGAAAAGAGUGGCCGAUCUGGAAAAGGUGGAUGAACAGCUCAUGGCCGCUGUUGCUCGGGCCGCGGAGAAGGAGGUCCUUAUCCAGGCCAAGGACGAGGAGCUGCAGCUCCGUCAUGUUGUAGUGGAGGAGGCGGCAGAAUUGCGUGCCCGGGUGGCGGCUCUAACGCAGGAACUCAAAGCAACGAAGGCCGAGGUUGAGGAGCUUAAGCUAGCUCUUGCGAAUGCCGAUACAUCUCGUGAGGCGCACGAGAUGUGGGUGUAUCUGGAGGCUAGGCUGGUCGUGCUUGAGGAAUUCCUGGCGGCUGGUCGGGCAUCUGAAACAGAGGUUGAGCACCAGCGCCAAUUAGUUAGGGCCGCUCGUGAGUCGGCGGCCUACGGUCCUGAAUCACCUGCUUGGGAGCAGGGCAACUCAGCAAACAUCAAUCGCUUGGAGUCCAGUUCUUGGAUUUCCAGGGUGUACCCUCCCGGAAAUGAGGACGAGCCAACUGAGGGCCACGCCGGGCUAGAUAGGUAGUGGUUUCUUAGGAUCUUUCCAAAUAUACUUGUUCAUACUGAUUUUGUAUCAGGGUGUUUGUUCCCUUUUGUGAAAACAUAUAAUUUUUGUUGUGAGGAAUCUUUUCCACAUUUCGGUAUGUCGUUGUACUUUUCUUUACCGUAGCUACUUGGAAUUUGUAGGCCAUAGCGGUGUAAAGUUAGCCUGAUGGAUUUAGCCGUGUAAAAUAGGCGGCCGUAGCCUUGUGAAUGCGAUGGCUCUAGCCAUGUACAGAUAAAGGUUGUAGCCUAAUGAAAAUGAUGGCCAUAGCCAUGUAAAAUAAAAGUCGCGGCCUAAUGGCUUUGGCCGUGUAAAGUAACGGUCAUAACCACGUAAAAUGAAGGCCUUAGCCAUAUAAACGGUGGCCAUAGCCAUGUAAACGAUGGCCAUAGCCAUGUAAAAUAAAGGUCAUAGCCUAAUGGCCUUAGCCAUAUAAACGAUGGCCAUAGACAUGUAAACAAUGGACAUAGCCAUGUAAAAUAAAGUCCAUAGCCUGAUGGCCUUAGCCAUAUAAACGAUGACCAUAGCCAUGUAAAAUAAAGGUCGUGGCCUGAUGUUCUUAACCUUAUAAACGAUGGCCAUAGCCAUGUAAAUGAUGGCCAUAGCCAUGUAAAAUAAAGGUCGUGGCCUGGUGGCCUUAGCCAUACAAACAAUGGCCAUAGCCAUGUAAAAUAAAGGUCGUAGCCUGAUGGCCUUAGCCAUAUAAACGAUGGCCAUAGCCAUGUAAAAUAAAGGUCGUAGCCUGAUUGCCUUAGCCUUUUCAUUCAUCUGGAGAUGGCCGUAGCCUUUUCAUUCAUUUGGAGAUGGCCGUAGCCUUUCAUUCAUCUGGAGUCGUAGCCUUUACAUUCAUUUGGGGAUGGUCAUAGCCUUUAGAUUAAUUCGGAGAUGGCCGUAGCCUUUUCAUUCGUCUGGAGAUGGCUGUAGCCUUUCUAUAUACUUGGAGAUGUCACUCAUCCAGCCCAUGUAUCAUGUCGGGCUUGGAGUUUAUAUGGAGAGGUGGACAUGAUGCACUCACGCUGCAAAACAUCUUCAGGUGGCCCCUUCGCCGCCUCGUUAAAAACCUUCCCGAGAAAAUCCAAUUGGGACAAAGCUCGGGUAAGGGAAAAAGAGUACGACUCAGGUGUCACUUUUUUAGAACUGGAAACGUUUGAGGUGAGUGAAGUUCCAGUUGUUUUAGAGUGUCUUUCCUUCCAUUAUCUCCAGCUGGAAUGCUCCUUUCCCGGUCGCCGCUGAGAUUUUGUAGGGUCCAUCCUAGUUUCUGCCCAAUUUUCCAUCGCUUGGAUCCUUUGAGGCCAGAUUCUUGGCUUUAAGGACGUAAACCCCUACUUUGAGAGGCCUCAUUUUUGCCCUUCUAUUGUAGUAUCUUUUGACUUGUUGAUUCUGAGCUACCAUUAUGACGUGGGCCAUUUCUCUUCUUUCUUCGGCUUCAUCAAGAUCUUGGAGUCUGCUGAUGUCGUUUUUCGAUCCGCUGGUGUGUGAGUACCUUAAGCUAGGUUCUCCCAUUUCAACAAGUAUGACUGUGUCGGUUCCAUAAACCAGUGAGUAUGGGGUUUCUCCGGUACUGGAUUUGGGCGUGGUUCUGUGUGCCCACAAGAUUUCGCGUAGUAGUUCGGUCCAUAGUCAUUUGGCAUCUUCGAGCUUCUUUUUGAGUAUAUUCAGUAUUGUUUUGUUAGAGGAUUCCGCUUGACCGUCGGCGGUGGGGUGAUAUGGCGUGGAUAGUAUUCUUUUGAUGUGCCAUUUUUUGAAGAAUUCAGUCAUUUUCUGGCCGACGAACUGGCGCGCAUUAUCGCAGCUGAUUUAUUUUGGGAUGCCAAAAUGGCAUAUGAUGUUCUUCCAUAUAAAGGUGAUGACUUCUUGCUGGCGUAUUUGCGCGUAUGCACCUGCUUCCACCCACUUAGAGAAUAGUUAGUUAAAACAAGCAGAAAUCGUACCAUUCCUCGCCCUGGGGGCAGCGGGCCGACUAUAUCCAUUACCCACUUGAUGAAUGGCCAAAGGGAUGUGACGCAAUGGAGGGGUUCUCCUUGUUGGUGUAUCAUUGGGGCGAACUUUUGGCAUUGCUCGCAUCGGCGGACGUACUCUGCUGCCUCAUUCUUCAUGGUGGGUCAAUGCAUCUAACGAGGGUGCAGUUUCCAGUGUGGGCGCUGCAAUGGCCCUCGUGUACUGCUUCGAGUACAGAUCUUGCUUGUUGCGGUCCUAAGCACUUGGCUAGGGGAUCGCCAAACGUCCUGUUAUAAAGGUCGUCGUUGAUCAUGCAGUAUCGGGCGGCCUGUACGCGAAGCUUUUUUGCAACUGCAUUAUCUAUCUAACGAGGGCGGGGUUGGCCGUGUGGGCGCCGCAAUGGCCCUUGUGUACUUCUUCGAGUACAGGUCUUGCUUGUUACGGCCUUAAGCACUUGGCUAAGGGGCCACCGAACGUCCUUUAAAAAAGGUGGCCGUUGAUCAUGCAGUACCGGGCGGCCUGUACGUGAAGCUUCUUUGCCUCUUUUUUAUUGGGGGUAAUACCUCGCACUGCAAAUAAGAUAUGAACUGGUUGCACCGGUCCCAAGUCAGGUUUAGGGAAAGUACCUCGGUGUGAUCGAUGGCCGAGUAGAAUAGUGUGACCACACUUUCUUUGCUGAUGUUUUUGGUGGCGGCAGCCAACUUUGCCUGGCCGUCUGCUUCGAUAUUACCUGCUCUGGUAAUUUGUUCGAAGCGGCAUUCGUCGAAUAUAGCCAUCAAUCUGUGGAUUUCCAACUGGUAUUUAUGUAACCUCUGUUCUUUGAUUUGACAAGUCCCAGCGAUCUGGUUCACUACAAGGUGAGAGUCGCAAUGGAGGAGAAUUCGGCGAGCUCCGUACUUUAUGGCAAGUUUCAUGCCUGUAAUAACGGCCUCGUACUCGGCCUCAUUGUUAGUUAUCUCCGGGCAUCGUAUGAACUGGCGAAUUGUUUCACUGGUGGGGACCUCAAGAACGAGUCCAAGUCCCCAUCCCGAUGCAUUGGCGGCACCAUCCGUGUAAAGGACCCAUAGGUCGCUUUUGGAGGACGCACGUUGUGCCUCGAGCUCUGCCUUUGGUAGGACUUACGCGCUAAAGUCGGUGAUAAAGUCGGCUAGGACUUUUGACUUGAUGGCGGUCCUACGGAGGUACAUAAUAUCAUGCUCGCUGAGCUCGACGGCCCAUUUGGCGAGUCGCCCUUAGAGUUCGGGUUUGUGUAGGACGCUUCUUAGGGGAAGGUCGUUACUACCCUUAUGGGGUGCCAUUGGAAAUAUGGUUACAGCUUUCGUGAAGCUACUACGAGGGCUAAUGCCAGUCUCUCAAGGUGGGGAUACCGAGUUUCGGCAUCCGCUAAAGUUUUGCUAAUAUAAUAGAUAGGAGAUUGUGUACCUUUAUUUUCGCGUACUAAUACGACGCUGACAGCGACUUCGAUACGGCCAAGUAUAUCAGCAACGACUCACAUGGGUUGGAUUUCACUAGUAGGGGUGGUGACGACAAGUGUGCUUUCAAGCUUUUUAGAGCUUCUACACAUUCUGCAUUCCACUACAGUCCCUGGUCUUUUCUCAGUACAACGAAAAAUUUGUGGCACUUGUCGGAGGAGCGUGAGAUGAACUGGGAGAGGUCGGCUAUUCGGCCCGUUAAUUUCUGGACCUGUUUCUUGCUGCUUAGCAUUUCUGGUAUGGCCUCUAUGGCUUUGAUCUGGUCAGGGUUGUGUGUUCUACUGCUGGUCUUUGUUCAAUACACCGAAAAAUUUGUGGCACCUGUCGAAGGAGAGUGAGAAGAACCGGGAGAGGGAGGCUAUUUGGCCCGUUAAUUUCUAGACCUGCUUCUUGCUGAUUAGCGUUUCUAGUAUGGCCUCUAUAGCUUUGAUCUAGUCAGGGUUGACUUCGAUGCCCCUUUGUGAUACCAUAAAUCCCAGGAACUUUCCCGAGGCUACUCCGAAAGCGCAUUUUUGGGGUUCAGCUUCAUGCCGUACUUCCUUAAUAUAUCGAAGGCUUCCUUUAGGUGGGUGAGGUGGUCUUCCCUCUUUGAUGAUUUGACUAAUAUGUCGUCGAUGUAGACCAGCAUGGUUCUGCCGAGCUGUUCUUUGAACAUUACCGUUACCAGCCUUUGAUAAGUGGCUCCUGCGUGCUUCAGCCCGAAAGCCAUUACCUUAUAGCAAUAUGUACCUUGAUAAGUGAUGAAAGUCGUCUUUUCCUUAUCUUCUUCAGCCAUCAUGAUCUGAUUGUAGCCUGAAUAUGCAUCAAGGAAGCUUAGCAGUUCAUGACCUGCUGUUGCAUCUAUUAGCUGAUCGAUGUGGGGGAGCGGGAAAGAGUCCUUAGGACAGGCCUUAUUUAGAUCGGUGAAAUCUACACGCAUCCGCCACUUCCCAUUUUUCUUUUUGACCAUUACGACGUUGGCGACCCAUUCCGGGUACUUGGAUUCCCUGAUGGAGCCAUUGGCUAGCUACACACAUCCGCCACUUCCCAUUUUUCUUUUUGACCAUUACGACGUUGGCGACCCAUUCUGGGUACUUGGAUUCCCUGAUAUAGCCAUUGUCUAGCAACGUGUCUACUUCUUCGCUCACUACUUUGUUAAUGGCGUUGAAUUUUCUUCUCAUUUGUCGCACGGGCGGGCGUAAUGGGUCGAUGUUGAGUUAGUGAGAGGUGAUUUCUCGUUGAAUCCCUGGCAUAUCUGCAUGAGAAAAAGUGAACAGAUCCGCAUGGUUAGAUAAAUAUUCACGGUACUGACCUGGAUUUGAGAGGUCGUGGCCUAUGUAUGCUUUCUUUGCAGGGUCGCUGCCGUUUAUUUGAACGGGGUCAAGGUCUUCGACUGUGGCCUUGCUAUCCUUGACCUCAUCAGGUUCUUCGAUGGCGUUUUCUGUCGGACGGACCUUAGUCCACGAUAGGGCUGAUUGCUAUGCUUCUGCACUUGCUCCUUGGAGUUUUUUGGUAUGCAUGUAAUCUUAGGCUAUCUUAUAGCAUUCUUGGGCGGUGCGGGGCUCUCCCCGUAUGCAAUGCACUCCCCAUGGGGUUGGGAAUUUGAUUACUUGAUAGAAGUUGGAUGAGACGGAUCUCAUGGCGUGUAUCCACGGGCGUCCGAUAUUGGCAUUGUAUGAUGUUUCCUGGUUCAUCACGUGGAAGCUGGUUUCCAUCGUGAUUCCAUCUGCAAGGAUGGGCAGCGUCACCUCGCGUGAGGUUCUUUCCACUGCAUUAUUGAAACCUGUUAGUGUUAUGCAGCGCAGGAUUAUUUUAUCCUCAAGUCCCAUGAGUGCAAGGACUCUUGGAUGAAUGAUACAUGUGUCGCUUCCAUCGUCGACCAUGAUCCUUUUAACAUCGGUAUCUAGUAUGCGUCAAGUAAUAACUAAGGCAUCAUAAUGAGGAAAACACAAACCGUCAGCAUCAGACUUAUCAAAGGUGAUACUAUCUUUGAAGUCAUCAUACCGUUCAGCAUAAUGAGGAAAAUACGAAUCGUCGGCAUCAGACUUAUCGAAGGUGAGACUAUCUUCGAAGUCAUCAUACCGUUCGUAGGCGAUAGUUCGCUUCAGCUUGUGGGUGGUGGUGAACUUGACGUGAUUGAUCGCCGAAUCAUUGCCGUCUCCAAUGAUCAUGUUGAUGGUGCAAGUUGGUGAGGGCGUCCUUGGUGGGCCAUGGUGCAAUUCCCGCCCUCGUGCGAAAUUGAGUUUUCCCUUGUCGCGGAGCAGCUCCUUCAAGAACCCUUGGUUAAGCAUUCGAACUACCUCCUGGCGGAGACCUAUACACUCCUCCGUUCUGUGCCUUCGCUCUUGGUAGAACUCACACAGGGCGUUUGACUUUCUGGUGGCGGGGUCGGACUUCAUCUUUGCUGGCCAUUGUACCUUGGUUGGUGGCGAGUGAGAGGACCUGAUGUACGGUUGAUGUCUUUCCCUGCUGAGGCAUGGGAUUUGUUCCCGCCUUCCCUCGUUGCACCGGUCCCUUCGGAUUUCUGGGUGUACUCUUGUCAACCUGCGGGUCAGGCCGUUGAGGUUGUCAUCAUCCCCUCGUACCUCGGCGCAAUAGGCGUUGUGUAUUUUUUCCCAGGUGGUGGGGGAUAUUUCAGGAGACGGCUGAGUAGCUUCUUGGUCGCCUUCGAGCCGUCUCUGCUGAGCCCGUUCUGAAAGUCCGCAACUGCCAUGCCUUCAUACACGUUAGGUAGGCUCAUUCUGACUCUGUUGAAUCUGGCUAGGAACUCCCUGAGUCCUUCCCAUGAGGUUUGAUGCACAGCAAAAAUGUCGUUGACCCGUGCUUCCGCCUUCCUUGCUCCCGCAUGGGCAGUAGAGAAUUUAUCAGCAGUCUCCUCAAAGGUUGAGAUGCUCUUGGCUGGCAGUUGUGAGUACCACGUUAGGGCCCCUCAUGUCAGUGUCUCACCGAAUUUCUUCAGAAGUACGGAUGGUACAUGUUCUUUUGAUAAGUUGUUGCCUUUGAUGGUUGUAACAUAGUGUAUCAGGUGGUCCUCAGGGUCGGUGGUCCCAUCAUAAACUUUCAAGUAGGGGGUAUCUUGAAGGUUUUUGGGAUGGGGUAUGGCGCGGCUUCUUCCGUGUAGGGUUGUUGGACGAACCUCCCCAUAUCUCGCUUCCGCAACAACUUAGGUGCGCCUGGGAUCUUAUCCACCCUUUCUUAGUGUUCCUUCAUCUGGUCGCGGAGUGACCGGUUCUCGUUCUCUAAAUAUUCCAUCUUUUUGAGGAUGGCUGGGAGUGUUCCGUCGUUAGGUUGGACAUCGACGGGAACGGUUUGUUCUCGUGACCUCGAGCUCAUCCUCGAUUGCGACGUGAUCUGCUUCUGGGGUGCAUCUAUUAUUUUGAGGUGAAUUUUUGGUUAGACCGCUCAGAGUGCUUGUCAGCCACUCUUCUAGCAGUCUCUUUAUUUCUGGGGUGCUUCCUUAGUGGUAGAUGUUGAAGCUUCUCUUUCUCGUGGUACCACCAGGUCUUCUGUUUCUGGAGGUGCCUCCUUAGUAGUAGAUGUUGAAGCUUCUCUUUCUCGUGGCACCACCAGGUCUUCUUAUGAGGAGUGUAAGUCUUCCACGCAUAUCAGAGCACUGGGGGUUGUGUGUAGGGCAUCUCCUUCGGCAACCGCGUUGAGAGUGCCCGUGAGGUCUGUUCUAACCUCCAGGAUAGCCUUCAUUCUAGCAUUGUUUUCGGCCUUUCUGGGUUGUAGAGGGUAUUUUUCGAAGGAUCUCUAGAGACAAACUACAACUUUAAUUCUCGAAAUCCCCACAGACGGCGCCAAAUUGUUUGGCUAAAAAGUUAUUCGAACACUUUAUAUAUCUUGAAAACAAUCAAAAAUGAUUUGAGUCAAUCGAAAUCAAAUGUAAUAUGGUCUGGAGAUUGUGAAAUGACUAAGAUAUAAGAACAAUGAGACAAAUAGCAGAUUUUACACUAGAGAGNNNNNNNNNNNNNNNNNNNNNNNNNNNNNNNNNNNNNNNNNNNNNNNNNNNNNNNNNNNNNNNNNNNNNNNNNNNNNNNNNNNNNNNNNNNNNNNNNNNNNNNNNNNNNNNNNNNNNNNNNNNNNNNNNNNNNNNNNACACAUGAGACAUACAAAGGGAGAAGGUCCCCUUUAUAUACUAAGGGACCUUCCUCGAAAUAAUACAAAAAAGUACAAGGGUUGGUGGCCUCGAUAUGCGAGUGUCAUAGCUCGAUGUGACAUUACAAUGAGUCACAUCACUUGAUCUGUUUAUUGACUAAGACCGGCCCUUCUUAAGUCGACUAUACCAAGGCCGCCUUUUUAGUGAGGCCGUAUGUAAAUACUACGUGGACGUGGAGAACCAAAUUUGCCCAAUACAUUUCUACCAUGUUGUGAAGUUAAAUUGAACAUGGAGUUUGAUUGCAGGCUCGUUGAGCUGUCUUGAUCCAAUCAAUAAAUUUACCAAAC